rnacentral:rRNA from 1 species
GGGAAAAGCUCAAAUUUGUAAUCUGGCGGCCUUCGGUCGUCCGAGUUGUAAUCUAGAGAAGUGCUUUCCGCGCUGGACCGUGUACAAGUCUCCUGGAACGGAGCGUCGUAGAGGGUGAGAAUCCCGUCUUUGACACGGACUACCAGUGCUCUGUGAUGCGCUCUCGAAGAGUCGAGUUGUUUGGGAAUGCAGCUCAAAAUGGGAGGUGAAUUCCUUCUAAAGCUAAAUAUUGGCGAGAGACCGAUAGCGAACAAGUACCGUGAGGGAAAGAUGAAAAGCACUUUGGAAAGAGAGUUAAACAGUACGUGAAAUUGUUGAAAGGGAAACGCUUGAAGUCAGUCGCGUCCGCCGAGACUCAGCCUUGCCUCCUGGCUUGGUGUACUUCUCGGUGGACGGGCCAGCAUCAAUUUUGACCGCCGGACAAGGGCGGGGGGAAGGUGGCACCUUCGGGUGUGUUAUAGCCCCUCGUCGCAUACGGCGGUCGGGAUUGAGGAACUCAGCACGCCUUUAUGGUCGGGGUUCGCCCACGUUCGUGCUUAGGAUGCUGGCGUAAUGGCUUUAAACGACCCGUCUUGAAACACGGACCAAGGAGUCUAACAUGCCCGCGAGUGUUCGGGUGGAAAACCCGUGCGCGUAAUGAAAGUGAAAGUUGGGACCCCUGUCGUGGGGGGCACCGACGCCCGGACCAGACCUUCUGUGACGGAUCUGCGGUAGAGCGUGUAUGUUNNNNNGGGUGGCCCCUCAACUUGGAAGGCCCCUUUCCAGAGUCAUCGAGGGAUUAGUAGCGUGCAUGAAUGAAAUGUUGGUUGCGCUAAUAGCCCCGGAGCAAAUGCUAGUAGCUGGUUCCUGCCGAAGUUUCCCUCAGGAUAGCAGAAACUCGUGUCAGAUUUAUGUGGUAAAGCGAAUGAUUAGAGGCCUUGGGGUUGAAACAACCUUAACCUAUUCUCAAACUUUAAAUAUGUAAGAACAAGCCGUCGCUUGAUUGGACCGCUUGGCGAUUGAGAGUUUCUAGUGGGCCAUUUUUGGUAAGCAGAACUGGCGAUGCGGGAUGAACCGAACGCGAGGUUAAGGUGCCGGAAUACACGCUCAUCAGACACCACAAAAGGUGUUAGUUCAUCUAGACAGCAGGACGGUGGCCAUGGAAGUCGGAAUCCGCUAAGGAGUGUGUAACAACUCACCUGCCGAAUGAACUAGCCCUGAAAAUGGAUGGCGCUCAAGCGUGUUACCCAUACCUUGCGUUCGGCGUUGAAGUGACGCGCCGACGAGUAGGCAGGCGUGGAGGUCAGUGAAGAAGCA